UGAGGUUACGGCCUCGGGUGAAAAGGGAACCAGGUGAGAAUCCUGGACAGACGGUGCUGCUGUGUGCCCCCUGUGAAAUCCCGCACCAGUCCACUGCGCGAUAAUAGAUUCAGGCGCGGGAAGGGCUGGUAGCAUGAAAGGGUAGGGGCGAGUCAGAAGACCUGCCAAUUCGCU
rnacentral:ncRNA from 1 species